rnacentral:lncRNA from 1 species
AACCCAGCCUUUAUAUAGAAAAACAAUUAUACACAUUUGGCAUCUUUUGAUCCACACACCUCUGCCAAAGAUUCACUAAAAUCUCAAGUUUGAUCCAUGUCUGCAACUAGGGAACGUCCGUCUUUUGAUUAAAAAGGAGCUUCUUCAGGUUGAGACGGAGAGGCUCUUGAAUGCUUCGACUUGUCCAUCGCCCAAUUCAGUCUGACCCAUUGGAUGGUUUGGUGUGUCGCCAUUCUCAUUGCUCUUGCGAGACGAGUUGUAAACCGAAUCAGGCAUCACAGAGCUGCGCUUGCCUUCAAAGUAAGUAGAACAGGGAAAAUACUCGGCGCAGCGUGAUUUCCAUCCUGCAAUUGUACCCAAAACAGGCUUAAUACUUCUAAAUUCUAAGGACUUAAUAUCAUCAGACCAACCAAACGUAAUAAAUCAAAAUGCAGCCGCAGACAGUCAUAAUAGUAACUAGUUUAUGGCAACAUCAUAGUGAAGAUAUAUAAUGCUUACUGGAGGCAGCUUCUGAGUCAAGGAGAACUGUGUCUAGAAGCUUAUGAACUGCUAUACAGUCUUUGAGUUUCCACUCUAUUUGAGCUCCAUUUCUGCACAAGGACAACCGAUGUUUAACAUAAAAAACAAAACAGAUAACAAAGAGAGCAAGAAACCAUAAGGUAAUGUGUUUGGAGGAGCAUUACGUUUGAACCACUUUACUGGUUGAGUCUUCAAUUAUUUUGAUAGCCUCGGUUUUCUUGCUCGGAUCUAACAGGUACAGCAUUUCGGCGUACGCAGCUCUGUGCACCAAAGAAUCUGCGGAAUUGAAAUGCAAACGUUUAACAUUUUUGUUUUAUCAGACACUGCAAUAUCUCAGCGAGGGUACCGAGUAAUCAAUUUGAUACGCACCUUUGUGUCUACCAAGAAAGUCUUCGUUUACCUCCACUAGCGAUUUAUUCUGCAAUUGACUAGAACGCAAACGAAAGGACAUUUUCACAACUGAUAUACAAAAACAAACAGUAAGAAUGGAUAAUAGUUUGAGUAGUCACCUGAUUGAUGGGCGCUCAGCCUCAAGUACACUCCAACGAAGUUUCUCAGCUUCGGUCGUUGGAGCACUUGUCGAUUCUGUCUUGAGAAAGAAUUUAAUCUGCCAUCGAAAUAAAAACAUUAUUAUCCAUCCUCUCCUUAGCAUGAUUAAGCCCUCUUUAGAACACCACAAGUAGCACAGAUUUCAUCAUACCAGGGAACGAUGUGAAUCAGGGUUCUCCGCAUCCAAUUUAAGCAUUUGCUUGACAGCCUGAAAAAUGAGACAGCAAAGUCCUUAAGAUUACUUGGACCAAGGCUACUAUACAAUCAUGAGCUUGAAAAAUAGUUACCUGGAAAGCAAGCAGAAACUUUUGUUUUCUCAUGUUAACCUCAAAAGAGACUAGAUGAGUCUCCAAAGAAUUAGGUGAAUGCUUCUGGAGAAGUCUCAAGUACUUUGAAGCCUCUGCCAUUGGCUCUUCCACCUGUCCAGAUUUAGUUUUCAAGUAAGCCUCUAAUGAAGCAACAAUACAUCUUACGAAUGAAGCAAACAACAACCUGAAUUAACUUUUGCCCAUGAGGAUCUGGAUCUACAGGCUUCACAUUUUUUUUGCCAGACUUAGAGACACCACUGGCAGUUGAUUCUUCACUCUUACUCUCAGCUUCCUGAAACGAAGAAGACCACUCUGAAGCCACCUAAGUGUCAAUGCAGUCGACAAAACACUGAAAAUACUUACUUUCUUUGCUCGUUCUUCUGCCUUUUUCUGCUUCUUCAUUUUCUUCUUCUGAGCAGGAGCCAUCUUUGACAUUCCAUCUUCUUCAGCAGUUGAUUUGGGAGAAUCAUGCAAUUUCAGAUAGCACCUGAAUAUCGAGCCGAGAGGUAAACGUUAAUGGAUUAUAUACAGUAGAUACUUUAGUUGGAUUCCAUUUGUGCAACGUAGAGUUUACCUGAUAGCUCUGAUUGCUGCUUUGUGGAAAUAUGGGAAUGAGUGUAAUCGGUCUUGGAACUUCAGCAUGUCAACAUAUGAACGCAAAGUCAUUUUUCUUAGACAGUACGAGUGGAAAUCAAACUGAUCUUCAGAAAUGUCAGUGUAGUGCUUCUCCACAGCCAAAAACCUCUUCAGGGCACGCCCAAGAUCACCCUGACGGAAGUAGCUAUCUCCAGACGCAAGAUCAUACCUUUUUCACGAAAUGAGAUCAAAAGACAGCCAUUAGAAAUGCAUCCGAAUGUCAAAUUUACAUAAGCAAAACUACACAGCUUUCUAUAGAGACGUACCACAUGCACUGCAUGUCAUGAAGAUUGUUGAUCUGAUCCCCCUCUUUUGUAAACAAAACAGCAGUUUUCUCAGCCAAGGUCACCUUCACGAGAUUAUUCACAGUACGAAGAAAUUGUGUUGAGGCCUAACCUCCAAGGACACUGCCCAAAAGAAAUAUAAUAUGAACAAAAACGAGAUGUAAACCUGAUCCGCUUGCAGCAUACGCUUAACGCAUUCACUGUUUAUAUAGCGAUCUGCUAAGUCCAUGCAUCUAGCUUCAUCGGCAAGUGCGGCAGCGGCAGUCAAGUCUCCUGCAUGUUUCAUUAUUCGGCUCUGUAGAGAGAAACCAGAAAAUGGUUAAGAAGAAGAUACAAGAGUCCACAAACAAAGUGAUAACUUGAUACACGGUGUGCACAAAUUACAACAAGUUAUGUUAACACACAAUAAACAAAUAUACCUUGACAGAGUACAGAUCAAUAACUGUCGGCGUAUGAGCAAUUGCCUCGUCAAUUUUACCAAGGGCGACAUCAUAUUGACCACGCUUGUCAUAAUGCUGUAUAAUGAAAAGAAUGUAUCAUGAUAAGAUACACAAAAUUCAACCGAAAAGCUAUUAACUAUAGAGAGAAGGAAGAUAGAUAGCAAAAGUGAACCUGGGCCAAGAAAAACAAUGUCCACAAUAGAGUUGACGGGGGCUCUUUCACACCACUGCACCAUUAAUCACAACAUAUGAAUGAUCAUAUCACUAAAUCUGAUAACAUAUUAUAGAAGACGUUAAUUCAGUUAGUACCUUCCAGGGUAACUUCCAGUAGUCCUAAUUGAAUGCUCCAUCUCAACAACUACUUGCUCCAAUAUAUCAGGCUAGACAACAAAAUACAUAUAGAACCAUUUAUCGUAAAAUAAAGUGAAGCCAGAUACAAUGAAUUUUGCGACAAAGCAGAGAAACUAACCUUGCGAGGGUGAUCAUACAGAGAAGAGAGAUCAGAAAAUAAUGAAGGAACACCCUGAGACAAGCAUCAAAGAUAUAUAAGAAACAUAUUCUAUUUGAACAUUGUGGAAACAAAGCGACUCGAGGGUAAAAAAAUAUACCUUUGUCAGUAGAGGUUUAAUGUACUUCGCCACAGCCUCCUUAAAGCUUUCAUCUUGCAGAAAAUCCAAUGGUAUCCUCUGAAAAUGGGGAAAGAGAAAAUAACUUAAUACCUGUGUCCCGAAAAUAUCAGAGAGAAACAUAUUGGCAACCGGUUGUUCCCUAUAAUGUGGAAGGAUAUUUAAAAAAUGUAUUUCACAACGGGCACUGACUGCCAUUUCUCACCUUAACAGCGGAUGACCUAGUGUACUGCUCGCUUAGAGACUGAUACAAGGCAUUUAACUUCUCAAUCUUGUCAGACGAAUAUUGUCCACUUUCCGAAUACAAACCAAAACAUUUUUGGAGGCCUUCAUAAUAUCUGAAAAGUACAGGAAUGCACUAUUUACUUGUUGACAUGAAUUGACAGUACCCAAAAAUAUAUAGAAGCCUUUGAGAAUGUCAUAGGAAAAAAUUAGUCAACUUCUAAGCAAAAAACAAAUAAUGAAUUAGAAGUGCAAAGAAAAAAAACCUGUAAUUGUCAGGGUUCAUGGAAAGCAGAACCCUGUAGAGUUUAUCGGCUUCUGCUGGGCGACCAAGCUUCGACAAGAGAGAUACCUCUAGUUCUUUGUAAGACAGCUUAUCAACCUACAAACAACCACGAGGAAUGUAAAAUCUACUAUGUGCGUGUGACCUAUUAUCCACAUAAAUAAUACAAUCAGCUUCAAGAACUUGCUAUUUUUGGCUCUUUCUUGCGCAACUCAUCAAGAGCUUUGUCAAAGGCGCCGAUCUCCUCAAGCAAGGAAACCUGGAAGAAAAAAAAAACAGUUGAAAUUUCCUGCAGCUAUAUGUAUAUCAAAGCUGUGCUAGUGCCAAUUGAAUAUCAGAACUCGGAAGCUACAUGGAUAUGUUAACGCCUAUCAUGGUUUUCCAGGGGAAAAAACUACAGGGAUACAGUAAAGGUAUGACACUUAAGAUAAAAAAUUUGGCUUGAUACCUUGUAUAAAAUCAUUUCAGUGUGUUCACAUAGCUCGUUCUCAGGAGGGUAAUCAUCCUCUAGGGUGCCUUCAAACGCUUCCAAAAUCUCAACAGCUUUAGAAGCACUGGUUUGAAACAAAACAUGUUAGAGAGAUCAAGGUGAGCUAUUGUCAAAAGAUAUAAAAAUCAUUAAGCUGAUUGGACAGGCAUAGAAUUCUACUGGAUGUUAUUCAUUGGUUUAUUAUUUCCUAUAAGUCUGAUGUAUGAAACAUCCCAGCAAAGGUGUACACUACACUACUUGAUCCUUAACAUGUCUAAGACUACAAUUGCAAUUCAUAUAUAUACACCAGCGCAUCACCAAGUUAGCUAGCGAAUAGUCCAAAGAAGAAAAACUAGCAUUCCAUUCAAAUGAGAAAAAGUAAAGCAACUUAUUUAGAGUUGAGGCUUCAAGGAACAGAACAUACUUUGCGUUCAAAUGCUGGGAGACUGCAAAGCCAAUCCAGUUCAUUCGAUGAUUAGGCUUUAAAGUCAAAAGCUGCUGCCUGGUCUCCACAAAACCAGAUAAGUCCCGCAUUUGUGCCUAGGGAUAAGAAAGAUACAGUAAGAUAAAUUGUUGAAAGCAUCAAGAAAGAGAGAGAUUAACAUUAAUUGCCAUCUAAUAAAGUCUCCUCAAAUCUGUUUUUAACAUGUUUUUAACAUAGUUACCUGCAAGAGUGAGAGGUCUCUGAGUAUUUCAAGGUUCUCAGGAUCGAUUCUAAGAGCAUUUCGGUAGCAUUUGAUGGCCUCUCUAUACUCUCUGUCGGACCGGUACAGGAGACCAAACACAUGCCAGCAAACAUGGCUCUUGAUGUCAUUCUGCAUGAAAAAACAUUAAAAUCCUGAAUCACCCUGAAAAAUUACACUAUGUCUACGAACUAAGGAUUGAUAUUAUGAUUAUCCAAGUCAGAAACGAACCUUGACUCCAAGGCGAACAAGCUCGUAUGCUUCAGUUUUGCGGUCCAUACAAUUUAGGGUCAAUCCUUUCAUCGAUAAAGUCUCUGGAAAUCACAAAGAAUAAAAGAAACAAGUCUUAAAAAGAAGGAAAAGCAUAACUAAAAGAAGCAGACAAAUAAAGCAGUCGAGAAAGAACAACUCAGUAGAAGCAGGAACUUAACGCAAAACAGAACAGAUCUCAACUAACAAAAACAAACAAUACCAAUCAUCUCUUUUGAUCAUAGAGUAUAACCCCAUACUAAGAAAUUAGUUUAUUUGAUUUUUGCAUCAUUAGGAACAAAGAAAAUGAAAUGAAUUUGCGAACGGUGGUCGAAUCUUAAACUACGGACAGGACACCCAAGCACCUUUUAGAUCAACAAGUUGUAUACAAUGGAGAUAGCAAUAAUAUAGUGACAUAAAAAAAAACCAAAACAACAGAAGGAAGGAAGGAAGGUUGGGGAGUAAUGAUAAAAGAAAAGUCUCACCCCCAUGAGAAGGAAACUUCUUCAAUAUGGCAUCAGCUGCCUUCAGUCCCUUCUUGUACUGCUUCGUCUCAUAAGAUUUCUGCAUUAUAAAACCACUCAGAUUAAAUUCACACGAAAAAUACAUAAAAAAGAAUAUGAAGUAUUCCAAAGGUGGCUUCAACAAAAACAAAAACCCAAUGCUAAAGUAGACUUGAGGAAGAUGAUUAUUAACUAGUUUGCCUAGAAAGUGUGGGAGCAUAAUCAUAUAAACACUGGAUGAUGCAUAUAACAUAUGAAAUUAGAAAAAGAGUAGAAGAGAAGCUAUAUAUAUAAUAUAUUGUCAAAGCUUAAAUCUGAGCCCGUGUCAAAGAUCCUAGCAAUAGAGGAUUGGAACUAAGAGUUUGAUACAUCAAAUGAUACAUAUUAAGAUACCAAAACUCCACUACUUGUCAUAUGGCCAAAGAAUGUGUAUUGACCUGACCCAACACAUUGACCUGGUUAACUUAAAUUAGGGUUUAACACAAUAGAAGGGAAAAGGAAGCCAAGCUAGAAUCAUCAAAUCAAAUACACCGAAAGAAGAAAGAAAAAAAACAGUGAGACAAAGAGAGAGAGUGAGUGAAUCGGAACAUACGACGAUGAGCUUGAAGAGGUUGGCCUCUUUUGGAGGAAGCGAAGCCCCCAUUCUCCUGCGCAACGGAAAGAGCUCACGAAGAAGAGGAAGAAGAAGAAAGGAGAAGAGAGAUCUUCUUCUUCACAAGAGAAAGAGAUAGAGAGAGGUGGCGUACUACCCCGCUUCCUUCAACCCUACCGCGGAACCAAAGAUGAACAAAUAAACAAACACCCCAUGAAGGGUAUAAAAAUUAGGUUCCGUCUUCUUUCUCCUAACCAAAUCGGUCCGGCGUUUCCGGUUUAGAUUAGUCUAUUCCGGUUGACAUCAAUUAAGAUGUCUUUGACCGGUUGAGAAGUUUCCGAGAGUCAACCAAACCGGUUACCUGUAUCAAAAUUUUGUAUAAACCGAUCAAUUCAAUUCAUAGACAAAAGUAAAAAACUAAACCGUAACCAAACCAGCCCAUACACAUUUUAAUUUACUCAAACCGAGCAGGCCUGGUCAAUUUCACUUGGCAACAUUCUACUCAAACCGAAUAAGGCAGCGUCAUGUGCUCUUCAUGUCUAAGCAAACACAGAAACGUUUUCAAUCUCUUCAUCAGUCACUUCAACGGUCUCAUAUCCAGAGGCCCCUUCCCGAUGGUUCUUCUUCACUCUGUUUUCUCUGUUAGAAGAAGACUCCGUCUGAGGCGAAUGUUUCAUUAGAUUCUCUCAGGAUUAACAAAGCCCGGCAUCACAAAAAAAAAAAGAAAAACAACUUCCUCUUCAACUCAAUCACAAAAUCAUGCUUGUAGAGUAACAUGACAGCUCAACUCAAAAAUAUGUACUAAUAACUCCAUCGAGGGGCACACAGACCAUAAGUUAAGAGAACUCUGUGGACUGUGGUACAGUACUUGGAACUUGGCUCAAGUGGUGACAUUUGCCGAAUGUUCACUUCUCUAUUCUUGUGCUCUGUGCUUGGAUGAUUUCGCUUUUGAGACAUAUUUUCCUUGACAGAAGACAGCCUCUUCUUAAGUCCAUCAAAAGCUAAAUCUAACAUAUCCAUUGACAUACAGUUUUUUUUUUUUUUUUUUGCGGGUCGGAACCAGAGCGUGUCCUUGCUAUAGAUAUCGAUGAAGAAAGGAACCCAAUACUCGCAACCUAGUGACAUGUUCUUCCUCCUAUGCCUUAUAAUGUACUAUUUCUCUUUGUAGAGUAACACACUACAUCACGCUCUUUUUUUAUUCAUUGUAUCUUUUGAUAUGCUCUAUUUGUUACAAUGCUUCAAAUAUGUAUUUCUUUGGAAAAUAUAGUUAUUUAUUUUAUUUUAUUUUUUAAACUGUGGUCGGUUGUAUAGUUGAGAUAGUUUUUAUUCCUUUAAGAGCAGUCUGUAAACUUUACAAAUCAAUAAAUUUCCAAAUGGUGGUACUGCGAUGUAUUAGCAUUUGAGAGAACGUUAGAUAGCACAACAGCAUUGACGAAGAAAAGAUGAAACACCACACAAGAAAAGGUUCUUCAAAUCAAAAUUUUCCCAAAGAAGGUCAACAAGUAUACAUAAAACAGGUAAUGUAAUGGGAAAAUAAAGGAGCUAAAAGGGUACAACAUCAAAAAGAAAAGCUCGAAACAUCCUCGUAAAGUGUCGUGAGGGAAGUAAAAAGGAAAAAGAGACAAAAGACCCUUUGCUUUCUGUCAUUGUUCAUCAAACUUGAAACCCAGCCUUUAUAUAGAAAAACAAUUAUACACAUUUGGCAUCUUUUGAUCCACACACCUCUGCCAAAGAUUCACUAAAAUCUCAAGUUUGAUCCAUGUCUGCAACUAGGGAACGUCCGUCUUUUGAUUAAAAAGGAGCUUCUUCAGGUUGAGACGGAGAGGCUCUUGAAUGCUUCGACUUGUCCAUCGCCCAAUUCAGUCUGACCCAUUGGAUGGUUUGGUGUGUCGCCAUUCUCAUUGCUCUUGCGAGACGAGUUGUAAACCGAAUCAGGCAUCACAGAGCUGCGCU